rnacentral:rRNA from 1 species
UAUUUGACUCAACGCGGGAAAUCUUACCGGGUCCGGACACACUGAGGAUUGACAGGUAUUAUAUAGCACACUUCGGUGUGUCUAUUGUUAAAUAUGCUAGUCCUUUCAUGAUUAUGUGAUAGGUGGUGCAUGGCCGUUCUUAGUUCGUGGAGGAUCUGUCUGCUUAAUUGCGUUUCAGAUAAGGAUCUAUAUUCUUUACAGUGUUGCAGUGUAAUUGACCCCUUUCUCACGAGAGUGUGUGUCUUUUUGCGCUCGCACACUUACAUUAGGUCCUGAAAGCAACGAACGUGACCGCAACCUCUUGUUGCCUCAUCUCCCCAUCACUAGGUAGCUUGCUACUUAACGUAUCAUUGAGGCUUUCCAAAACUAGAGGGACCGCUGUCAACUUCUUAAACCAGAGGAAGGUUGCGGCAUAACAGGCUGUGAUGCA